rnacentral:lncRNA from 1 species
CUCCAGGCUUGGCGCUCAUGUGGUUCUGUUGGGCCUGAGUAUAUAUUUCACAUUGAUUGAAAUUAAAGUUCAUAUCUAAACUGUAUACAAUAAAAAUAAUCAACCAAUAGUUGAAAAGAAAUUAUACAGAUUUAAACAAAACUUAAAUAAAUUGUGACUUGGAUGGAGAGUUGUCUCAUUGACAACUCAUACCACCUCUAAUUAAGCACAAAUAUAUUACUAAACUGAAAUGCAAUUUAAUGUGAAGUAUAUGCUUAGUACAGUAGUUUCACAUUGGUGCAUCUACGAAUUCUGCAGUGUCCAGUGCUAUUUCCUUAGACUAUUGCCUUACACCUAACAAAGUUAGAUGACAAACAGUCAAUAGUCUUCUGAAAUUUGUACUGCUUCAGUGCUUAGUUCGUAGGUAAUGAGCAGGUGGUUAAAGAUCUCUGU